UCUGCCUGGCUCUGCUCUCCCUACUGACACGACCUCUGCCUGUGCAUUUGUCUCUGCAUCUCCAUGUGCAUUGUUCUUCAUCACUGCAAAUGGUGCCCUUUGUGUGAGUGUCUGACCCCUGUGAGGCUCUUCAUCAAGCAUUGUGUGGCGGUGACCACGCAAUCUGAUGGCUAUUAGGAGAAGGCGUUUCCAAUCCCAAGAGAGAAGACAGAGGCAGUCUACAAAAAGAGGCACACUGUGGUUCUUCCUGCACGACCAGGGAGAAAACAUGAGGAGGUGGGAUGGAAGACGUACCUCAGAACUUCAAGAACGAGUACAUGAGUUAAAAGGACUCUGAUGGAUGAUGAUCAGCAGGUACCAAUUACUACCACGACGGUGCAUCGCUGACAAUAUCGCACCAAAAGAGACUCUUUGAUUCCUAUUCAGAAGUUGAUUCAUCAACCCAGGACUUCUGGGUGAGUUGCCCAGAAUUUCAAGAUUGGUUUUGUAUAUUUUGUAUUAUUUUCUCUAUUUUAUUGCUAGCAUUAGUAAAACAUUUUUAAUUUUUUCCAACUUGCAAGCUCUCUCUCUCUUUGCCUCUCUUUGCCCUCCUAUUACCUUUACUUAGUGGUAAGUGGGGGGGGCUGAGGGGUUGGAGAAAAGGGAAGGAGUUAACAAAGCAUCUGCCAUGGUUUAUUACUGCCUUGCAAUCAAACCUUGACAGGAAUACAGAGCCCGGUAUGAAAACCUGUAACUCUAUGUGUGUUUAUCAACUCUGCAACACUUUUAACACAAAACAGUUGAGAAAAUAUUGCUGGCCACAGCCACAAAAUCCAUCCUCAUCUUUCCCAUUAUCAUGGUGGAAAAGCAAACUCUUCAUGUUGCAUUUUCCUAUUUAAAGAUGAAUGGAAAAGGACUGCCAAAGUGAAAGGAAUUUAGUCCAGUUGAUGUAACAGUGGGGUUAGAAAAGCAAAAUGCACAUCUCCUCUCAGUGUGGGAAUUGCAGCUGUGCAUAGCCAAGGCCACCACAAAUCCACCACAGCCCUUCAUGGGCAAGGGACAGCUUGGGUAACACCAGGCUUCAAGCCUGACACUGGGUUGCUUAUUGUGCCAUUGUUCACCAUGUAUUUUUGAGUCACAUUACCCAUUAAUGCUAUGUUCUGCUAAGAAGCUACAGACAUCUCUGAUGCACAUUAAAGACCAGGGUGAGAUGAAAGAGGAAAGCUCCACCAUGAAAAGCAUUUAUUGUUUCUUUAGCAUUGCCCCAUGUGGGUUGGGAACUGAGCAAUGCUGUAACUUGGAAGUGGUACAAAUGGGAAGAAGCACAAGCAACAACCAGGUAACAACAGAAAUUAAUUUUAUUUGGAAAAAGUUAUAAAAUUAAUACAAUACAAAAAUAAAGUCUGUAGAGAACUUUGGUUGAUUAACACAAAUGACUGAGACAUGACAUAAAUAGCAGGUGAAGUAAAAUCUCCAGAUGAGCACAAUCCUGUUUUCAGUAAGGUCUAAAAAAAUUUUAAAAAUCACAAACUUUACCCUUUUGUAUUUUGAACACAGUGAUUUGCUUUGGUUGCAGUCUCUUCAAGCUGUGCAGAAAAUGCUUUGGGGCAAGUUUUCAGCAACCGGGGCUGUACCAGGGCCAGAAAAAGCACACCUCUGAGCACUGUGCCCAGCUAACUGCCCAGCAGCACAGCUUACCUUCAGCUUAGCAGGUCUUUACUGCCCAAUUCAUGCCAGUGCUGGUGGUGGUAUCAGUUGUACCACUCCUGACAAAUGUGGAGGGUAAGGUGUCGCUGUGGCAAUGUGAGCAUGGACCCUGUGGGAAAGUUCCAAGACUGCCCUCUCUCAGCUCAGGAAAGCAGCAGAGAUUGGGGCUGAAUUACAUUUCGUACACCUGGAAUGCCUUCCUAUGCCUGUUCUGGACAUUUUUGACUACUAGACCCUUCUUCUGCGACACCCCAAGGGGCCCAGAGCAAAAUGAGUAUGGAGAGACAUUGCAUGAAUGAGAUAAAAGGUCAGACCAAACAUCGAUUUUUGGUUUUCAGUAGGGAUUUUUUUUUCUUCCUGUUGUUUUUGUGGGAAUUGAUACUUCACCGUUUGUCAGGUAUGUCUAGUGACCUGCACUGUUGCUCCUUUGGGAAAAAGGUCUCCAGAACAAGAGCUUGCGUUAGUAGUCAGGUAUGAAUGCCUCCACUGUACAACCUCCCUCAUCGUAAAGAAAUUCAGACUGUUCUGCUGUGUGGGUACGAUCCUGUAAUGUUUCAGCAAAUUAUACAAAACACUUUGGUUAUUUAACACAAUUGUUUACCUUCAGGCUAUAUUAAAUUCAGGGCUAACUACCAAGAGGAAUUUAACCUCUUCUAUAUGGAAAUAUGGAAGGAAAAGCUUAAAUAAAUAUCACAAUAAAUUAUAAGGCUAAAUGUCAUUAUUUUCCAUUCGUCAAUAGUUAUAUGAGGUCAGUUGGCAAAAAGUGUGAGAAAAAAUGUGACUACAUUUAAACUAUGGCAAGAAUUAGUUUUUAUAACAAACUGCUAAUGUUGAGCCAAGUCCUGUGAUCCUCACUCAUGCAGAGCCACUGCUGCUCCUGCACAUGUAUGACUGCAGUAUUUUUUAAAAGUAUUAGUGGACAGGAGGAAGGGCUGCAGACUUUGGCACUACAUUUUGUGAACAUAAUCAGGAUUUUGUUUAAAAGAAAAAAAGGUAAAGUAAGUGACUUUUUGUGUUCAAGUUAAUACUUUCAAUCAAAAUCAUGGACUGUUGUUCCCAACUUAAUUGUCUCUACCUUCCAAGCACUUUCUAGUUUGGUAUCUUUGAAAAGAAACAUUAAUAAAUAGGAAGACUCAUUACUGAACUGUAAUAAAUAACAAUAACUUGAACACAAUAAAUAUUUUCUGCUUAUUUAUGUCUCUGAACAGAUGUAUUGCAUCAAAUAGCCUCCACCCACUCAAAAUGACCAAAUAGAAAUGUAGUGAAGCAAGUGACAUUAGUCCUUUGUAAACCAAAAUAAACAUGUUUUGUAUGGG